rnacentral:rRNA from 1 species
AGUGAACGCUGGCGGUAGGCCUAACACAUGCAAGUCGAACGGCAGCACAGUAAGAGCUUGCUCUUACGGGUGGCGAGUGGCGGACGGGUGAGGAAUACAUCGGAAUCUACUUUUUCGUGGGGGAUAACGUAGGGAAACUUACGCUAAUACCGCAUACGACCUACGGGUGAAAGCAGGGGAUCUUCGGACCUUGCGCGAUUGAAUGAGCCGAUGUCGGAUUAGCUAGUUGGCGGGGUAAAGGCCCACCAAGGCGACGAUCCGUAGCUGGUCUGAGAGGAUGAUCAGCCACACUGGAACUGAGACACGGCCCAGACUCCUACGGGAGGCAGCAGUGGGGAAUAUUGGACAAUGGGCGCAAGCCUGAUCCAGCCAUACCGCGUGGGUGAAGAAGGCCUUCGGGUUGUAAGGCCCUUUUGUUGGGAAAGAAAAGCAGCAGGUUAAUACCCCGCUGUUCUGACGGUACCCAAAGAAUAAGCACCGGCUAACUUCGUG